rnacentral:rRNA from 1 species
AUUGAACGCUGGCGGCAGGCCUAACACAUGCAAGUCGAACGGUAACAGGAAGAUGCUUGCUUCUUUGCUGACGAGUGGCGGACGGGUGAGUAAUGUCUGGGAAACUGCCUGAUGGAGGGGGAUAACUACUGGAAACGGUAGCUAAUACCGCAUAACGUCGCAAGACCAAAGAGGGGGACCUUCGGGCCUCUUGCCAUCGUAUGUGCCCAGAUGGGAUUAGCUAGUAGGUGGGGUAACGGCUCACCUAGGCGACGAUCCCUAGCUGGUCUGAGAGGAUGACCAGCCACAAUGGAACUGAGACACGGUCCAGACUCCUACGGGAGGCAGCAGUGGGGAAUAUUGCACAAUGGGCGCAAGCCUGAUGCAGCCAUGCCGCGUGUAUGAAGAAGGCCUUCGGGUUGUAAAGUACUUUCAGCGGGGAGGAAGGGAGUAAAGUUAAUACCUUUGCUCAUUGACGUUACCCGCAGAAGAAGCACCGGCUAACUCCGU